rnacentral:misc_RNA from 1 species
UACGAAGGGGACUAGCGUUGUUCGGAAUUACUGGGCGUAAAGCGCACGUAGGCGGAUGUGUCAGUCAGGGGUGAAAUCCCGGGGCUCAACCUCGGAACUGCCUUUGAUACAGUACGUCUUGAGUCCGAUAGAGGUGGGUGGAAUUCCUAGUGUAGAGGUGAAAUUCGUAGAUAUUAGGAAGAACACCGGUGGCGAAUGCGGCCCACUGGAUCGGUACUGACGCUGAGGUGCGAAAGUGUGGGGAGCAAACAGG